rnacentral:tRNA from 1 species
GGGCCCGUAGCUCAGUUUGGAUAGAGCGUUGGCCUGCGGAGCCAAAGGUCCUGGGUUCAAAUCCCAGCGGGCCCG